rnacentral:sRNA from 1 species
AAGUUUUAGGUUGGCACCGUCAGGUUGCCACGGCACACGAAACAGCGUUGGUUUCUCUAAUGACGGAUGUAUAUCAGGUCUGUUUCGUGUGCUGAAUUGUUGACGCAUUCAUUUAUUGGUAUCGCAUGAAUCCCAUCGUAAUUAAUCGGCUUCAACGGAAGCUGGGCUACACUUUUAAUC